rnacentral:rRNA from 1 species
UAAAAGUAUAUUACUUAUUUUAUAAGUUGAUUUAAUUAAAUUAAUAAAAAUAAUUUUAUAAAGUAAAAUUUAAGUAUUUUUUAAUAAAAAAAUAAUUUUAGUAAUAGUUUAAAGUAUAGUAUUAGAAUUUUGAAAUAAAAUUAUUUAUAUAGAAAGUAAAUUUAAUUUAUUGUACCUUUUGUAUCAGGGUUUAUUAAAUAAUAUUUGUUUUUAAAUAAAUUUCUCGAAUUAAAGAGAGUUAAAAUAAUAUUUAAGUUAUUGUAUUAAAAAUAUUUAUAAUAUUAUUUUAGUAAUGAAAUGUUAGUCGUUCUUUAAUAUAUCUAGUUUUUUAAGAAUUAAAUUUAAUUUAAAUAAUUUUGUAUAAUUAAUUUUAUUAAUAAAGUUAAUUAUUUUUAUUAUAAAAUUUUUUAGGGAUAAGCUUGAAAAAUUAUUUUAUAAAUUUAUUAAAUUGAUUAAAUAUAAUAGGAAUAAAAAUUUUCAUUUAUAAAUAAAGUGUUAUAAUUAAUUUAUUUGAGAUUAAAUUUAUUUAAUUUUAAUUUAUGUAUUAAAAUGAUAAUUAUAAUAGUAUAAUUAUGUAAUAAUGAUAAAAUUAGUAUUAAUUAUUUAAUAAAUAAAAAUUUUAUUUAGAUUAAAAUAAGGAAUUCAGCAAAAAUAAUACUCACCUGUUUAUCAAAAACAUGUCUUUUUGAAAAUAAUUUAAAGUCUAACCUGCCCACUGAAAUAAAUUUAAAGGGCCGCGGUAUAUUGACUGUGCAAAGGUAGCAUAAUCAUUUGUCUUUUAAUUGAAGGCUAGAAUGAAUGGUUGAAUGAAGUAUUAACUGUCUCAUUUUAAAAAUUUAAGAACUUAAUUUUUAAGUUAAAAAGCUUAAAUGUAAUUAGAGGACGAGAAGACCCUAUAGAUCUUUAUAAUUUAAAUUAAAUAAUAUUUAGUUAUUAAUUAAUUAUUUAUUUAAAAAUUAUUUUAUUGGGGUGAUAGGAAAAUUUAUAAAACUUUUUUUAUUUAAUACCAUUGAUUUAUGAAUAGUUGAUCCAUUAUUAUUGAUUAAAAAUUUAAGUUACCUUAGGGAUAACAGCGUAAUUUUUUUAAAGAGUUCAUAUCGAUAAAAAAGAUUGCGACCUCGAUGUUGAAUUAAAGAUUAUUUUUAGGUGUAGAAGUUUAAAGUUUAGGUCUGUUCGACCUUUGAAUCUUUACAUGAUUUGAGUUCAAACCGGUGUAAGCCAGGUUGGUUUCUAUCCUUAAUAUAAUUUAAUAUUUUAGUACGAAAGGACCAAAUAUUUAAAAUAUUUUUAAAAUUUAUUUGAAUAUUAAUAAAUU